rnacentral:rRNA from 1 species
AUGGAGGCGCCGGCGGCCAGAGGAGGAGCGCGAAUGCGGCUGCGGGCUGUGGCGGCGGUGGUGGUGCUGGCGAUGGUGGCGGCGACGGGGAGGGCGCAGCUGCAGGUCGGGUACUACGACACGCUGUGCCCGGCGGCGGAGAUCAUCGUGCAGCAGGAGGUCAGCAAGGGCGUGUCCGGCAGCCCCGGCACCGCCGCCGGCCUCCUCCGGCUCCACUUCCACGACUGCUUCGUCAGGGGCUGCGACGGGUCGGUGCUGCUGGACUCGACGGCGGGCAACCAGGCGGAGAAGGACGCGCCCCCCAACUCGAGCCUGCGCGGGUUCGAGGUGAUCGACGCGGCCAAGACGCGGCUGGAGCAGGCCUGCUACGGCGUCGUCUCCUGCGCCGACGUGCUCGCCUUCGCCGCCAGAGACGCCCUCGCCCUGGUCGGAGGUAACUCGUACCAGGUGCCGGCGGGGCGGCGAGACGGCAACGUCUCGGUGGCGGGGGAGACCAACGGGAACCUGCCGCCGCCGACCGCCAACGUGAACCAGCUCAACCAGAUCUUCGGCUCCAAGGGCCUCACCCAGGCCCAGAUGGUCGCGCUCUCAGGUGCGCACACGGUGGGGAUGGCGCAGUGCAGCUCCUUCAGCAGCCGGCUCUACUCGUACGGGACCAGCGGGGGCAAGGACCCCAGCAUGGACCCGAGCUACCUGGCGACGCUGAGCACGCAGUGCCCGCAGUCCGGCGCCAGCCAGCCCGUGGCCAUGGACCCCGUCACCCCCAACACCUUCGACACCAACUACUACGCCAACGUCGCCGCCAACCGCGGCCUGCUCUCCUCCGACCAGGCGCUGCUCGCCGACAACGGCACCGCCGCGCAGGUCCUCGGCUACACCUCCAGCCCCGGCACCUUCCAGACCGACUUCGCCAGCGCCAUGGUCGCCAUGGGCGCCAUCGGCGUGCUCACCGGCAACCAAGGCACCAUCAGGACCAACUGCAGGGUCGUCGGCUGA